UAAUUUAUGUAGUUGUAGCACUGCUCAGAUUGAACGCUGGCGGCAGGCCUAACACAUGCAAGUCGAGCGGAUGAGUGGAGCUUGCUCCAUGAUUCAGCGGCGGACGGGUGAGUAAUGCCUAGGAAUCUGCCUGGUAGUGGGGGACAACGUUUCGAAAGGAACGCUAAUACCGCAUACGUCCUACGGGAGAAAGUGGGGGAUCUUCGGACCUCACGCUAUCAGAUGAGCCUAGGUCGGAUUAGCUAGUUGGUGAGGUAAAGGCUCACCAAGGCGACGAUCCGUAACUGGUCUGAGAGGAUGAUCAGUCACACUGGAACUGAGACACGGUCCAGACUCCUACGGGAGGCAGCAGUGGGGAAUAUUGGACAAUGGGCGAAAGCCUGAUCCAGCCAUGCCGCGUGUGUGAAGAAGGUCUUCGGAUUGUAAAGCACUUUAAGUUGGGAGGAAGGGCAGUAAGUUAAUACCUUGCUGUUUUGACGUUACCAACAGAAUAAGCACCGGCUAACUUCGUGCCAGCAGCCGCGGUAAUACGAAGGGUGCAAGCGUUAAUCGGAAUUACUGGGCGUAAAGCGCGCGUAGGUGGUUCGUUAAGUUGGAUGUGAAAGCCCCGGGCUCAACCUGGGAACUGCAUCCAAAACUGGCGAGCUAGAGCAGAGGUAGGCUCC
rnacentral:rRNA from 2 species